UGCAAGUCGAGCGGACAGAAGGGAGCUUGCUCCCGGAUGUUAGCGGCGGACGGGUGAGUAACACGUGGGUAACCUGCCUGUAAGACUGGGAUAACUCCGGGAAACCGGAGCUAAUACCGGAUAGUUCCUUGAACCGCAUGGUUCAAGGAUGAAAGACGGUUUCGGCUGUCACUUACAGAUGGACCCGCGGCGCAUUAGCUAGUUGGUGGGGUAAUGGCUCACCAAGGCGACGAUGCGUAGCCGACCUGAGAGGGUGAUCGGCCACACUGGGACUGAGACACGGCCCAGACUCCUACGGGAGGCAGCAGUAGGGAAUCUUCCGCAAUGGACGAAAGUCUGACGGAGCAACGCCGCGUGAGUGAUGAAGGUUUUCGGAUCGUAAAGCUCUGUUGUUAGGGAAGAACAAGUGCGAGAGUAACUGCUCGCACCUUGACGGUACCUAACCAGAAAGCCACGGCUAACUACGUGCCAGCAGCCGCGGUAAUACGUAGGUGGCAAGCGUUGUCCGGAAUUAUUGGGCGUAAAGGGCUCGCAGGCGGUUUCUUAAGUCUGAUGUGAAAGCCCCCGGCUCAACCGGGGAGGGUCAUUGGAAACUGGGAAACUUGAGUGCAGAAGAGGAGAGUGGAAUUCCACGUGUAGCGGUGAAAUGCGUAGAGAUGUGGAGGAACACCAGUGGCGAAGGCGACUCUCUGGUCUGUAACUGACGCUGAGGAGCGAAAGCGUGGGGAGCGAACAGGAUUAGAUACCCUGGUAGUCCACGCCGUAAACGAUGAGUGCUAAGUGUUAGGGGGUUUCCGCCCCUUAGUGCUGCAGCUAACGCAUUAAGCACUCCGCCUGGGGAGUACGGUCGCAAGACUGAAACUCAAAGGAAUUGACGGGGGCCCGCACAAGCGGUGGAGCAUGUGGUUUAAUUCGAAGCAACGCGAAGAACCUUACCAGGUCUUGACAUCCUCUUACAACCCUAGAGAUAGGGCUUUCCCUUUGGGGACAGCAUGACAGGUGCUGCAUUGUUUUUGUCAGCUUGUGUCUUGAGCUGUUGGGUUAAGUCCCGCAAAGAGCGCAACCCUUGAUUUUUGUUGCCAGCAUUCAGUUGGGCACUCUUAGGUGACUGCCGGUGACAAACCGGAGGAAGGUGGGGAUGACGUCAAAUCAUCAUGCCCCUUAUGACCUUGGCUACACACGUGAUACAAUGGACAGAACAAAGGGCUGCUAGACCGCAAGGUUUAGCCAAUCCCAUAAAUCUGUUCUCAGUUCGGAUCGCAGUCUGCAACUCGACUGCGUGAAGCCGGAAUCGUUAGUAAUCGCGGAUCAGCAUGCCGCGGUGAAUACGUUCCCGGGCCUAGUACACACCGCCCGUCACACCACGAGAGUUUGCAACACCCGAAGUCGGUGAGGUAACCUUUAUGGAGCCAGCCGCCGAAGGUGG
rnacentral:rRNA from 1 species